rnacentral:rRNA from 1 species
CCUACGGGUGGCAGCAGUGAGGAAUAUUGGUCAAUGGUCGGGAGACUGAACCAGCCAAGCCGCGUGAGGGAGGAAGGUACAGAGUAUCGUAAACCUCUUUUGUCAGGGAACAAAGGCGGGGACGUGUCCCCGGAUGAGUGUACCUGAAGAAAAAUCAUCGGCUAACUCCGAUCCAGCAGCGGCGGUAAUACGGAGGAGGCGAGCGUUAUCCGGAUUGAUUGGGUCAAAGGGGGGCGCAGGCGGUCUGUUAAGCCAGCGGUCAAAGCCCGGGGCUCAACCCCGGCCCGCCGUUGAUACUGGCAGUCUCGAGUUGGAGAGGAGUAUGCGGAAUGCGCGGUGUAGCGGUGAAAUGCAUAGAUAUCGCGCAGAACUCUGAUGGCGAAGGCAGCAUGCCGGCUCCACACUGACGCUGAGGCACGAAAGCGUGGGUAUCGAACAGGAUUAGAUACCCCGGUAGUC